rnacentral:rRNA from 1 species
GACGAACGCUGGCGGCGUGCCUAAUACAUGCAAGUUGAGCGAUGAAGAUUGGUGCUUGCACCAAUUUGAAGAGCAGCGAACGGGUGAGUAACGCGUGGGGAAUCUGCCUUUGAGCGGGGGACAACAUUUGGAAACGAAUGCUAAUACCGCAUAACAACUUUAAACAUAAGUUUUAAGUUUGAAAGAUGCAAUUGCAUCACUCAAAGAUGAUCCCGCGUUGUAUUAGCUAGUUGGUGAGGUAAAGGCUCACCAAGGCGAUGAUACAUAGCCGACCUGAGAGGGUGAUCGGCCACAUUGGGAAUGAGACACGGCCCAAACUCCUACGGGAGGCAGCAGUAGGGAAUCUUCGGCAAUGGACGAAAGUCUGACCGAGCAACGCCGCGUGAGUGAAGAAGGUUGUCGGAUCGUAAAACUCUGUUGGUAGAGAAGAACGUUGGUGAGAGUGGAAAGCUCAUCAAGUGACGGUAACUACCCAGAAAGGGACGGCUAACUACGUG